rnacentral:rRNA from 1 species
UACGGAGGGUGCAAGCGUUAUCCGGAUUCACUGGGUUUAAAGGGUGCGUAGGUGGGUUGGUAAGUCAGUGGUGAAAUCUCCAAGCUUAACUUGGAAACUGCCGUUGAUACUAUCAAUCUUGAAUCUCGUGGAGGUAAGCGGAAUAUGUCAUGUAGCGGUGAAAUGCUUAGAUAUGACAUAGAACACCGAUAGCGAAGGCAGCUUGCUACACGAGUAUUGACACUGAGGCACGAAAGC